rnacentral:rRNA from 1 species
AACGAACGCUGGCGGCAUGCCUAACACAUGCAAGUCGAACGAGACCUUCGGGUCUAGUGGCGCACGGGUGCGUAACGCGUGGGAAUCUGCCCUUGGGUUCGGAAUAACAGUUAGAAAUGACUGCUAAUACCGGAUAAUGACGUAAGUCCAAAGAUUUAUCGCCCAAGGAUGAGCCCGCGUAGGAUUAGCUUGUUGGUGAGGUAAAGGCUCACCAAGGCGACGAUCCUUAGCUGGUCUGAGAGGAUGAUCAGCCACACUGGGACUGAGACACGGCCCAGACUCCUACGGGAGGCAGCAGUGGGGAAUAUUGGACAAUGGGCGAAAGCCUGAUCCAGCAAUGCCGCGUGAGUGAUGAAGGCCUUAGGGUUGUAAAGCUCUUUUACCCGGGAUGAUAAUGACAGUACCGGGAGAAUAAGCCCCGGCUAACUCCGUGCCAGCAGCCGCCGCAGUAA